GCAUAUCAAUAAGCGGAGGAAAAGAAACUAACAAGGAUUCCCCUAGUAAUGGCGAAUGAAGAGGGAAAAGCCCAAAUUUGUAAUCUGGCUCUUUCAGAGUCCGAGUUGUAAUUUUAAGAACUGUUUUCAGUGCUGGACCAUGUACAAGUCUGUUGAAAAGCAGCAUCAUAGAAGGUGAUAAUCCUGUUCAUGAUAUGGACUACCAGUGCAAUAUGAUACAGUCUCUAAGAGUCGAGUUGUUUGGGAAUGCAGCUCAAAGUGGGUGGUAAAUUCCAUCUAAGGCUAAAUAUUGAUGAGAGACCGAUAGCAAACAAGUACCGUGAGGGAAAGAUGAAAAGAACUUUGGAAAGAGAGUUAACAGUACGUGAAAUUGUUAAAAGGGAAACAAUUGAAGUUAGACUUGUUAUUAUUAGUUCAACCUUUUCUAAGGGGGUAUUCUAAUGAUUAACAGACCAACAUCAAUUUUUGGGUGUUGGAGAAGGGUUUAAGGAAAUGUAGCAGUUUUUGACUGUGUUAUAGUCCUGAGCUUUGAUACAAUGCUUAAGAUUGAGGAAUGCAGUAAGCCCUUUCUUUUUUUGGGUGGAACAAAUUAUUGUUCUUCUUACUGAGGAUGUUGGUGCAAUAGCUUUAAAUGACCCGUCUUGAACCACGGACC
rnacentral:rRNA from 1 species